AGACAUUUCUCAAGCAUUUAGCAUUGGACAUCAUGCUAGCCUCUGGGGACAGAGAGUUACACAAAAUAUGACUCUCACCUUUAAAAGAUCAUAGUCUUUCUGGAGGUGUGGAAACUAUGAGCAGAGAGAUAGUAAUGCCAGGGACAGCAUCAGAAUUUGUAGAACUCUGUCUUAUCUGGGUGCAGAUACGUGAGCCCCAGCUACUGUUCCAGCACCGUGUCUGCCUGCCUUCUUCCAUGUUUCCUGCCAUGAUGGUCAUGGACUCUGAAACUUGCAGAAGAGAGUCUCUCCUGCCUGUCUGCCCCAAGGGAGUCUUCUGCUGCUGCGUUUGGAUCAAGUUGUAGAGCUCUUCCAGUACCAUGUCUGCCUGCAUGCUACCAUGCUUCCUGCCAUGAUGAUAAUGGACUGAACCUCUGAACCUGUAA